rnacentral:rRNA from 1 species
CUGAAUCCAGCAAUGCCGCGUGUGUGAAGAAGGUUUUCGGAUUGUAAAGCACUUUCAGCGGGGACGAUGAUGACGGUACCCGCAGAAGAAGCCCCGGCUAACUUCGUGCCAGCAGCCGCGGUAAUACGAAGGGGGCAAGCGUUGCUCGGAAUGACUGGGCGUAAAGGGCGCGUAGGCGGUUGACACAGUCAGAUGUGAAAUUCCUGGGCUUAACCUGGGGGCUGCAUUUGAUACGUGGCGACUAGAGUGUGAGAGAGGGUUGUGGAAUUCCCAGUGUAGAGGUGAAAUUCGUAGAUAUUGGGGAAGAACACCGGUGGCGAAGGCGGCAACCUGGCUCAUGACUGACGCUGAGGCGCGAAAGUGGGGGAGCAAACAGGUUAGAUACCCUGGUAGUCCACGCUGUAAACGAUGUGUGCUGGAUGUUGGGUGACUUUGUCAAUCAGUGUCGUAGUUAACGC